rnacentral:lncRNA from 1 species
GCAGUGGGGCUAUAUAUAGGCCAAAAAGAUAACAAAAAUGCAAGCCCAUAAAAACAGAUCACCGUUGAGCGACUAAAUGAACCGCUCAAUGACUUUCCUUCAAGCCGCACCACCGCUUAGCGGCCAAUCCCACCCCUGAGCGGUUUGCCUCUAAUCAUUCUAGGCACGUAGCAUGACCGCCUGGGCGCCAGGCAGUGGAUCUCCUUGCAUUGGGACGCUCAACGCUGAAAUUUGGCGCUGAGCGGUCCAUAGAACAUAAUAUAUACAAAAUAUUUAUAAUCAAGUCAAAGUUAAAAAUAAAAAUUAAAAGAUAAAAAAAAAAUAAAAACAAAAUAUAUACAAAAUAUUUACAAUCCAGUCAAAGUUAAUCAGUUUACACUACUAGCUAAGUUAAACCACGAGUCCCCGACAAAAAAAAAACUAACUUAUGUUGAGAACCAAAAAUAAAUACUUAUCAUGAACAAAAAUAUCUAUCGUAAU